rnacentral:rRNA from 1 species
GCCAUGCGCGUCUAUAAUGCAGUCGACGAACUCUGGUAUUGAUUGGUGCUUGCAUCAUGAUUUACAUUUGAGUGAGUGGCGAACUGGUGAGUAACACGUGGGAAACCUGCCCAGAAGCGGGGGAUAACACCUGGAAACAGAUGCUAAUACCGCAUAACAACUUGGACCGCAUGGUCCGAGCUUGAAAGAUGGCUUCGGCUAUCACUUUUGGAUGGUCCCGCGGCGUAUUAGCUAGAUGGUGGGGUAACGGCUCACCAUGGCAAUGAUACGUAGCCGACCUGAGAGGGUAAUCGGCCACAUUGGGACUGAGACACGGCCCAAACUCCUACGGGAGGCAGCAGUAGGGAAUCUUCCACAAUGGACGAAAGUCUGAUGGAGCAACGCCGCGUGAGUGAAGAAGGGUUUCGGCUCGUAAAACUCUGUUGUUAAAGAAGAACAUAUCUGAGAGUAACUGUUCAGGUAUUGACGGUAUUUAACCAGAAAGCCACGGCUAACUACGUGCCAGCAGCCGCGGUAAUACGUAGGUGGCAAGCGUUGUCCGGAUUUAUUGGGCGUAAAGCGAGCGCAGGCGGUUUUUUAAGUCUGAUGUGAAAGCCUUCGGCUCAACCGAAGAAGUGCAUCGGAAACUGGGAAACUUGAGUGCAGAAGAGGACAGUGGAACUCCAUGUGUAGCGGUGAAAUGCGUAGAUAUAUGGAAGAACACCAGUGGCGAAGGCGGCUGUCUGGUCUGUAACUGACGCUGAGGCUCGAAAGUAUGGGUAGCAAACAGGAUUAGAUACCCUGGUAGUCCAUACCGUAAACGAUGAAUGCUAAGUGUUGGAGGGUUUCCGCCCUUCAGUGCUGCAGCUAACGCAUUAAGCAUUCCGCCUGGGGAGUACGGCCGCAAGGCUGAAACUCAAAGGAAUUGACGGGGGCCCGCACAAGCGGUGGAGCAUGUGGAUUUAAUUCGAAGCUACGCGAAGAAACCUUACCAGGUCUUGACAUACUAUGCAAAUCUAAGAGAUUAGACGUUCGCUUUCGGGGACAUGGAUACAGGGUGUGCAUGGAUGUCGUCAGCUCGUGUCGUGAGAUGUUGGGUUAAGUCCUGCACGAGCGCACGCUUAAUAAUCAGCUGGCUAGCCAUCAGUGGCACCUCUGAUGAGACUGACGAUGACUACCUGGAAGGUAGGGUUCGAGCAGGGAUCGGACGUUUCCAAAAU